UACGGAGGGUGCAAGCGUUGUUCGGAAUCACUGGGCGUAAAGCGCGUGUAGGCGGCCUCCUCAGUCUGGUGUGAAAGCCCGGGGCUCAACCCCGGAAGUGCAUUGGAUACUGGGAGGCUGGAGUACCGGAGAGGAGGGUGGAAUUCCUGGUGUAGCGGUGAAAUGCGUAGAUAUCUGGAGGAACACCGGUGGCGAAGGCGGCAUCCUGGACCAACACUGACGCUGAGGAGCGAAAGCCAGGGGAGCAAACGGG
rnacentral:rRNA from 1 species